GAUGAACGCUAGCGGCAGGCUUAAUACAUGCAAGUCGAGGGGCAGCGCGGGUAGCAAUACCUGGCGGCGACCGGCAAACGGGUGCGGAACACGUACGCAACCUUCCUUUAAGUGGAGAAUAGCCCGGGGAAACCCGGAUUAAUACUCCGUAAUAUUAUGAAGUGGCAUCACUUUAUAAUUAUAGAUUUAUCGCUUAAAGAUGGGCGUGCGCCUGAUUAGGUAGUUGGCGGGGUAAUGGCCCACCAAGCCUUCGAUCAGUAACUGGUGUGAGAGCACGACCAGUCACACGGGCACUGAGACACGGGCCCGACUCCUACGGGAGGCAGCAGUAAGGAAUAUUGGUCAAUGGACGCAAGUCUGAACCAGCCAUGCCGCGUGAAGGAUGAAGGUCCUCUGGAUUGUAAACUUCUUUUAUAGGGGACGAAACCCGGGAUUCUUCCCGAUUGACGGUACCCUAGGAAUAAGCACCGGCUAACUCCGUGCCAGCCGCCGCAGUAA
rnacentral:rRNA from 1 species